rnacentral:rRNA from 1 species
AUGGCCGGUCCAUCGGGAAUUUUGUUUUUGCUCGUCAUUGCAAUGCUAGAAUUUCUAGCCCUUUCCAACACCCCUCACCCAUAUUGUGACCGUCCAUGCCAAAAUGAGCUUAGCUUGCACCUGUACCUGCACCAAUUUGUUGCUGGUCCAAACCUCCCAAACCGCAAUGAAGAAUUUGUCUUAACCCCAGGUUAUCCUCUUGGUUUUGGCACAACCCUCAUCCAUGAUUGGACCCUAACCAAUACAGUGAAUCCCAGCGAUACUAUUAUUGCACGAGCACAAGGCACACAUAUACAGGCGAGUAGAACCAAUGCUAACGGUUGGUACAUCUCUCAAAACAUAGUUUUUCAGAGUGGAAGGUUUGCUGGAUCUACACUUCAGGUGAUGGGGACUUUAACUGAGCAAAGUGAGGGGCAGUGGUCCGUUAUUGGAGGGACUGGAGAAUUUGCUAAGGCGCAUGGUACUAUAAAGUACAAAAUGGACCCUGCCUCUAACAUCGAGGACGGUAUUAGAGAGCUUGAUAUUCAUCUAAUAUACACCCCAAAUUAUCCACAAGCUACUCAGUCUGGUACACCACCUCUUGCAAAAUUGUUGGGUGGCUGUCAUGCGGUCGAUAAUUGUUGCUGCAAGAAAUACUGA